UGUAAAAACUCAUAACCACUGUAGUAAUGUUAAGAAUCAGAUUUUUUAGACAAAAAGUAGCCUACGUUUUUCGUCAGAAUGCAAGCUAUCUCCUAAUCAAAUUUGAUCGAUAUCUUAUUCCAUUUUACGGUUUUAGCGUGAAAAGAUAAAAUACAGACGGGCAAAAUGUUCGCAUUAACCUUUAUAAAAAUUAGUUUAAUUUUUAUCAUGAGCCAUUUUGGAAACAGUGUGUGUG